rnacentral:rRNA from 1 species
AUUGAACGCUGGCGGCAUGCUUUACACAUGCAAGUCGAACGGCAGCGCGGGCUUCGGCCCGGCGGCGAGUGGCGAACGGGUGAGUAAUGCAUCGGAACGUGCCCAGUAGUGGGGGAUAGCCCGGCGAAAGCCGGAUUAAUACCGCAUACGACCUGAGGGUGAAAGCGGGGGACCGAAAGGCCUCGCGCUAUUGGAGCGGCCGAUGUCGGAUUAGCUAGUUGGUGGGGUAAAGGCUUACCAAGGCGACGAUCCGUAGCUGGUCUGAGAGGACGACCAGCCACACUGGGACUGAGACACGGCCCAGACUCCUACGGGAGGCAGCAGUGGGGAAUUUUGGACAAUGGGGGCAACCCUGAUCCAGCCAUGCCGCGUGCGGGAAGAAGGCCUUCGGGUUGUAAACCGCUUUUGUUCGGGAAGAAAUCCUCUGGGCUAAUACCCCGGGGGGAUGACGGUACCGGAAGAAUAAGCACCGGCUAACUACGUG